UCAUACACAGGAGGAGGCAGGUAGCUGGGUCCAGGGGCAGGCAGAAGGUCAUACACAGGAAGAGGCAGGUAGCUGGAGGCAGGUAGCUGGGUCCAGGGGCAGGCAGAAGGUCAUACACAGGAAGAGGCAGGUAGCUGGGUCCAGGGGCAGGCAGAAGGUCAUACACAGGAAGAGGCAGGUAGCUGGGUCCAGGGGCAGGCAGAAGGUCAUACACAGGAAGAGGCAGGUAGCUGGGUCCAGGGGCAGGCAGAAGGUCAUACACAGGAAGAGGCAGGUAGCUGGGUCCAGGGGCAGGCAGAAGGUCAUACACAGGAGGAGGCAGGUAGCUGGGUCCAGGGGCAGGCAGAAGGUCAUACACAGGAGGAGGCAGGUAGCUGGGUCCAGGGGCAGGCAGAAGGUCAUACACAGGAGGAGGCAGGUAGCUGGGUCCAGGGGCAGGCAGAAGGUCAUACACAGGAGGAGGCAGGUAGCUGGGUCCAGGGGCAGGCAGA